AUUGAACGCUGGCGGCAGGCCUAACACAUGCAAGUCGGGCGAACGAGGCUUCGGCCAAGUGAGCGGCGAACGGGUGAGUAACACGUAGGAAUCUGCCUGGCAGUGGGGGACAACGUCUCGAAAGGGACGGUAAUACCGCAUACGCCCUACGGGGGAAAGCAGGGGCUAGUCGGAGCUUGCGCUAUCAGAUGAGCCUGCUUCGGAUUAGCUAGUUGGUAGGGUAAAGGCCUACCAAGGCGACGAUCCGUAACUGGUCUGAGAGGAUGAUCAGUCACACCGGAACUGAGACACGGUCCGGACUCCUACGGGAGGCAGCAGUGGGGAAUAUUGGACAAUGGGGGCAACCCUGAUCCAGCCAUGCCGCGUGUGUGAAGAAGGCCUUCGGGUUGUAAAGCACUUUAGGUCGGGAGGAAGGUUCGCUGGCUAAUAUCCAGCGGAAUUGACGUUACCGACAGAAUAAGCACCGGCUAACUCCGUGCCAGCAGCCGCCGUAA
rnacentral:rRNA from 1 species